ensembl:snoRNA small nucleolar RNA SNORD113/SNORD114 family
UGGACCAAUGAUGACUACUGGUGGCGUAUGAGUCAUUGAUGGUGAAUACCCUUUAACUCUGAGGUCCAA